rnacentral:piRNA from 1 species
UGUCAAGGUCCUUUAACUUACCCUGAGAUUU